rnacentral:lncRNA from 1 species
AUGAUGGUUGUACGACGCGAGCAUCAUUCUAAAAGAAAUUAGUUACGUAAAAGAAAAAGAAGCUGUUCGUGAAAUACACAAUCAUGCCACUGAUGCAGAAAUUGCUGAAUGCAUUUCCACGUGGCUUGCUCGAGCUUCGGUUAGGAUUGAGAGAUCAAAGCAACAUACAAACAAAAACGAA